rnacentral:lncRNA from 1 species
AUGGCAAGUUCAAAUCCUUUGACUGUUUUUGAUAAAUUAAAUGACGGAAAUUAUAAGGAGUGGAGUAUUUAUGUAAAGCAUCUGUUAGUCAGGGAAGGACUACAAAAUACUAUAUUAGGAAUGGAACAAGACGCAGUUAAAAAUGAGAGAGGACUGGCAACAUUGGUUUUGAGUUUAAUGCCAAGUCAGUUAGUUCAUGUGCAGAAUUUGCAAACUGCACAGGAGGUAUGGAAUGUGUUGAAGCAAGUGCAUCAGAGCCAGAGCACUCUGGGUAAAAUGAUUUGGACUAAACGCCUUUAUAGAACUACAUUGGAAGAAGGGGCAGAUGUGAGGCAACAUGUGAGGUGGAUGAAAGAUUUGUUUAUUGAAUGCCAAAACAGAGGUGUUCAGAUUGCCAAAGAGCAACAGGCUUAUAUUAUGAUGUCCAGCUUAACUGCUGAUUGGGAUCAUUUGUUGCAUUCCUUGCAAAGUGUGCCAGAAGGAGAUCUGAGUCUGGAUUUAGUGUAUUCCAGGAUCUUGAAAGAAGCUGAGCGUCUGGAGUUUGAGAGAGGAGCCUCGUGUGGGAGAAGUUACCAGAGCGAGGGGGAGUCAACUCCAGAGAUGCCGAGCCAGACAGCUGUUUGUGCGAGUGUGAGAGCUGUAAGGAGAUGUUUUAUUUGCAACAGGCCAGACCAUUUAGCAAAAGAUUGCCAGAGCCGAGGAAGACAUCAAAGAAGAGGACGCCAAACCAGAGGUGAUCACAGGAGAAGUGUGCUGAACAACAAUCCUGAGCCGAGAGUUUUGAUGGCUGCAAAUGAAGUUGGAGACAGCGAAAGAAGUAACAAAUGGGUUUUGGACUCAGGUGCCACUCAUCAUGUUACUGAUGAUAUUUCUCUGUUGAGAGAUGUACAAGAUUUGGAAGCAGCAAAUGUAACUUUGGCUGAUGGGUCAUUCAAAUUGUUUUCUAAAUUCGGAACCUGUUACAUUCCAUGUUUGAAAUUGCAUUGGGAGAAAGUCUUGUAUGUGCCUGAAAUGAAGACAAAUUUGUUAAGUGUAGCCACAUUGACUGAUCAACAAUUUAAAGUGUUCUUUAAAGGAAUUUAUUGCUACAUUCGUGAUAGGGAAGGAAAAUUGGUUGGCAAAGGAGUAAAAAGAAACAGAAUGUAUGAAAUGUUUGAAAAAGUGAACAACAUUGAUGGAGAAAAUGUAGAAAUUAUGUAUGUAGGAGGUCAAAUUCAACAUGAUCAUUGUCUGCAUUUAUUCCACCGAGUGAUGGGUCAUGCUAGUAUGGAGACAUUAAAGAAGACACUCAAUUUGUGCCCUAAUUACAAAAUGGAGUCAUGUAACUAUGAUUUAGAUUGUGCCACAUGUAAUGAAGUGAAGGAAGAGCCUGUAAAAUUUUACAAGAGAUCUAAAAUAAGUGUGGAUGCCAUGUUUGAGAAGGCACAUGUUCAUACUGAGGGACCUUUUGACAAAAGUACUGGUGGAUCUAAAUAUAUGAUGCUUAUUGUUGAAAGAAUGAGCAGAUUUGGUUAUGCAUAUUUCCUUGCUAACUUAUCAGAAGCGACUAGAAAAUUGAGUGAUUGGCUAAAUUUGGUAGAAAAUGUGUAUGAAAAGAAAUUGGACACUUUAAUAGUUGACAAAGGUGCAGAAGUCUGUGGCAGUGAAUUUAAAGCAUUGUUAAAGUCAAAGAAUAUUAAUUGGAUUGAAAUUGGACAAAUGAAAGAUGAAGAAGGUGUUGCUGAAAAAAGAGCACAACUUUUAAAUGUGAUGAAAUUUUGUAUGUUUAAAGACAGUCAUAUAGCUAACAACUAUUGGCCAGAAGUGUUACACACGUGUAAUUAUUUGACAAACAGGCUAUGGGAUGAGUGUGUGCAAGAUAUUCCUUUUCGUAAAAUGUAUGGUCAUGUACCAAAUUACAAGUUUUUGAGAAUAUUUGGCCAGAGAGCAAAUAUAGUCAUCCCAGCCAGUGAGAGAGCAAAUAAGAAACAAAAAUACAAAGAAAUGACAUUCAUUGGGUAUAGUAAAAAGUCUUACAAAUUCUUAGAGGCACCUACAAAAGUGAAAUUGUCGAAGCUUGCUUAUUUUGAGAGACCUAGUGAUUGGAAACAGAUUCAUUCGAAUGCAGAACAGCUACAUGGUUUCCAGAAAGCGAAAGUCAGUGUAGAAAGUGAAGAAACAUCUAAGAAAGUAAAUGAGUCAUUGAAGUCAGAAUACAUAACACCAAAGAAAGUAAAUCAAGGUACACCUAAGAAACAGGGAACAAGAAGAUCAAGUAACAAAGGUGUAGACACACAGGUGAAACAAGAAGUUAAAGAAGAGGUAAAUUUGAGUAGUGUUAGUGUUGAGAAGAAAGAGAAGAAGAGAUAUGCUUUAGUACCAACUUUAUCUGAUCCAACAAAGUUUCACAAAACACCUGUGGCAAAAGAUUUUGUUAGUAGAGGUAGAUUUGUAAUUGUUGAAGAAUGA